rnacentral:lncRNA from 1 species
AAGCAUAGAAUGGGAAAGUUAAUUUCAUUAUUUGAUGUACCAAGUAGGUGAGUGCCUACCAUGGCGCCAAGCCUUGUUCUAGAUGCUGGGGUUAAGAGCGAGCAGAACAGAUAAAAAUCUCUCCCCUUGUGGAGCUCGCAUUCCAGCCAGGGUACAGACAUGUGUCUGAGAGAGGUUCUUCCGUGACUUGUCAGUCCAUGCAGGGAUCCGGAAAGCUUUGGGGGAGAUAGGCCAGAGUUCUGGGACUCCUGGGCUGCUGUGCACAGACUGGAGUAGGCACCUGCUGGGCUGCCUGCCGACCCUCCCUCCCCAACACUGCCUACUGCCAUCAUCAUGGUUGCGGGCGUGGGCUCCACAGCUCCAUCUCUGCUGUAGUCCCCUUCCUGGGCCAUGGUUUUCAUCUCAGGACGGGCCUCUAAACCAAGCUGGGCUAAUUAGUGCCACCACAUCUGGAAUUCAGACUAAAACGUUCAGUCUGGGCUGAUCUCUUUUUUUCUUUCUUUUUUUUUGGUGAAGAUUGGCCCUGACCUAACAUGUGUUGCUAUUCUUCCUCUUUUUGCUUGAGGAAGAUUGUCCCUGAGCUAACAUAUGUACCAAUCUUCCUCUAUUUUGUAUACGGAAUGCCACCCAGCAUGGCUUGAUGAGCAGCGUGUAGGUCUGUGCCCGGGAUCCGAACCUGGGAGCCGUAGGCCACCAAAGCAGAGCACACGAACUUAACCACUGUGCCACCAGGACGGCCCCUUGGCUGAUCUCUUGAACAUGUGAAAAACCAGAAACAGAGGCACAGCCUUUUGUUUAUUUUUUCUUAUUUUAUUUUAUUUUUCUUACCAUGUAUGAAGACAUCGACAUAGAGAUGAGACAUGGAAAGACGCUCCUGAGAGCUUCUAGUCUCUGAUUUGGGGAUCUUCCUGAGACACAACUGCUUUCCCGACAGUGGGUGCAGAAAGAAACCCUCUGCCCGUUCAGUGAUUGAUCCUUUGUGCGUAAGCUGGCUUGAGUUGGUUUCGGCUACUUCCAACGAAUCCAGUCUCAUCUUCAACAUAAACAAAAGCAGAAACAGGAGCCCCGGAGCUGCCUCGAUACUAUCAGGUCCGGGAGUGACAGUCAAACCGGGUCCCUAGAGACCACUGAUGACGGGGACGCUCCCCUGCCCUGCCACCACCUCCCUGCCAGGGCCAAGGCCUCAGAGCACACGGCCCUAGAAGGGAGUAAAGACUGUGUUGUAAAAAAAAAAAAAACAAGAAGAAGAAGGAAAAAGAUGAACUACCUUCUAAACUGUGGGGACAGUGCUGGAGUGGCUGUCCACAUUGAUCAUGGCAAGAUCAUUGCAAGCUUAGCAAGAACCAGCUGCCGGGUCACGGCCUGUUUGGAAAGACAAAUGCAGUCCAUUAAAGGGGAUUGUGUAUCAGCUACAGAAAGCUCCUCCUUUGACUGCCUUUAUUCAGCACCUGACUGGCUCCCACGUGCCCUGCAGGCCCCAGUUUUUCCUGGGAAGCCUUCCCCAAGGUCAGCUUAGGGAACUCCUCUCCAUGAUGGACCUCCUUACUACACAUGUCACUCUGUUUAAAUUGCCUGUGAACGUCCUAAGAGUAGAGACCAGCAUCCAGUUCAGUCGCUGGCACAUGGUAGAUGUUCAAUAUUUAUUUAUUCAACAAAGGAUUGAAUUUCGGCAUUAAUUUAGCACUACCUAAAAAGUCCCCAUACCUAAACUUCUGCAGAUGACCAUAUACUUGGCGCUUCAUCACACUAUAAGGUAGACUCAGGUAUGUGUGUUUAGGAGGCAGAGAGAGCACAUAGGGCUCAGGUGCCCUUGACUAGUGAGAAAUUGCGGGACCCUCUAUCAAAUA